rnacentral:lncRNA from 1 species
AUUUGAUUCUGUCGAGCUACUUUUUGUAUAUGGUAUAAGGCUGCUGUUCUUCAUAGCUCACAUUGUUGCAAAGUUGUUGGGUUCGGGGUCACCACAGAGCUGCGGAGAAGAAGCUGUGACUUCUGCAAGCAUGCUUUGCCAGAAAGGAGUGAAGAUCUGUGCAGGCUCCUCCUUCUUCUCCUUGUCUUCACUGAACUCCUGGUCAGAAACAGCUGCUUGAAUACAAACGUCAUCUCUGCCAGGAUCGACAGUGGUCUGUGACCAGAGUCCAGCCUGAAUUCAUAUUUAGAAAAGAGUUACUUCAAGGAGUUUGGUACUUUCAAAAACAGAUAACCUCUGCUUGACCACAUGAAAUGAUUCAGUUGCUUUGAGCCCCAAAGGAGCUCCAUUAAGCUUCCCAAAUGUUCUCUUGCCAAAAUGGGACUUUGCUUUACAUUAGAAUACCUUAAUGGCAAAUGUUCCAGGUUUUCCCAUAGCAAAGGAAGGAUGUUUAUGCUGAACUAACGUCUUCAGUCCUAUCCAGAAAGGAAAAAUUUACAGACAACUAAUCAAGUAUUUCCUAGCUUUUAC